rnacentral:lncRNA from 1 species
AUGUACAUAUCUACCUCAACUACCUGGUACCCCUUCACAUCCACUCAGUACUGGUACUCUGUGUAUAUAGCCAUGUUAUCAUUGACUCAGUACUGGUACUCUGUGUAUAUAACCAUGUUAUCAUUGACUCAGUACUGGUACUCUGUGUAUAUAGCCAUGUUAUCAUUGACUCAGUACUGGUACUCUGUGUAUAUAGCCAUGUUAUCAUUGACUCAGUACUGGUACUCUGUGUAUAUAGCCAUGUUAUCAUUGACUCAGUACUGGUACUCUGUGUAUAUAACCAUGUUAUCAUUGACUCAGUACUGGUACUCUGUGUAUAUAGCCAUGUUAUCAUUGACUCAGUACUGGUACUCUGUGUAUAUAACCAUGUUAUCAUUGACUCAGUACUGGUACUCUGUGUAUAUAACCAUGUUAUCAUUGACUCAGUACUGGUACUCUGUGUAUAUAGCCAUGUUAUCAUUGACUCAGUACUGGUACUCUGUGUAUAUAGCCGUGUUAUCAUUGACUCAGUACUGGCACUCUGUGUAUAUAGCCGUGUUAUCAUUGACUCAGUACUGGUACUCUGUGUAUAUAGCCGUGUUAUCAUUGACUCAGUACUGGUACUCUGUGUAUAUAGCCAUGUUAUCAUUGACUCAGUACUGGUACUCUGUGUAUAUAACCAUGUUAUCAUUGACUCAGUACUGGCACUCUGUGUAUAUAGCCAUGUUAUCAUUGACUCAGUACUGGCACUCUGUGUAUAUAGCCAUGUUAUCAUUGACUCAGUACUGGUACUCUGUGUAUAUAACCAUGUUAUCAUUGACUCAGUACUGGUACUCUGUGUAUAUAGCCAUGUUAUCAUUGACUCAGUACUGGUACUCUGUGUAUAUAGCCAUGUUAUCAUUGACUCAGUACUGGUACUCUGUGUAUAUAGCCAUGUUAUCAUUGACUCAGUACUGGUACUCUGUGUAUAUAGCCAUGUUAUCAUUGACUCAGUACUGGUACUCUGUGUAUAUAGCCAUGUUAUCAUUGACUCAGUACUGGUACUCUGUGUAUAUAGCCGUGUUAUCAUUGACUCAGUACUGGUACUCUGUGUAUAUAGCCGUGUUAUCAUUGACUCAGUACUGGUACUCUGUGUAUAUAGCCGUGUUAUCAUUGACUCAGUACUGGUACUCUGUGUAUAUAGCCGUGUUAUCAUUGACUCAGUACUGGUACUCUGUGUAUAUAGCCGUGUUAUCAUUGACUCAGUACUGGUACUCUGUGUAUAUAGCCGUGUUAUCAUUGACUCAGUACUGGUACUCUGUGUAUAUAGCCGUGUUAUCAUUGACUCAGUACUGGUACUCU